UUCCGGUUGAUCCUGCCGGACCCUACUGCUAUUGGGAUAAGACUCAGCCAUGCAAGUUGAGCGCUUCCAAGCUAUGUUGGAAGAGCGGCGUACGGCUCCGUAACACGUAGUCAACCUACCCUCAAGAUGGGGAUACCCCCGGGAAACUGGGGCUAAUACCCGAUAGGUAAUGAUUCCUGGAAUGGUUUAUUGCUCAAAAGGUUUUGAGAACAUGCUCUCAAUUCUGCCUGAGGACGGGACUGCGGCCGAUCAGGUUGUUGGUAGGGUAAUGGCCUACCAAGCCUAUAACCGGUACGGGCCCUGAGAGGGGUAGCCCGGAGAUGGGAACUGAGACAAGGUCCCAAGCCCUACGGGGUGCAGCAGGCGCGAAAACUCCACAAUGCACGAAAGUGUGAUGGGAUUAUCCCAAGUGCCGUCCGCUGAGGAUGGCUUUUCCCCGGUGUAACUAGUCGGGGGAAUAAGAGGGGGGCAAGACUGGUGUCAGCCGCCGCGGUAAUACCAGCUCCUCGAGUGGUAUGGAUGAUUAUUUGGCCUAAAGCGUUCGUAGCCGGCUUAGCUAGUCCUUCGUGAAAUCCUCUGAUUCAAUCUUAGGGCGUGUGAGGGAUACUAUUACGCUUGGGGACGGCAGAGGUCGACGGUACUCUUGGAGUACGGGUGAAAUCCUAUAAUCCCAAGAGGACCACGAGUGGCACUAGCGGUCGACUGACACCGAGCCUGACGGUGAUGGGACAACAAACUAGGAGAGCGAACCCGGAUAUAUACCCGGAAACUCCUAGCCCUAAACGAUGCGAGCCUCCGUGUUGGAUCAGCUAUGAACUAGUACUAUGACCGCCGGCACCUGCUUAGUCCGCCGCCAUGCUAAUACUAGACGCAUGCUGAACACACGCAUUGGCGGAGAUAGCCAUAGUGGGAAGCCUGCGUACUGACCGACGCCUGUAACCUGGACGAUCGGGUGCAA
rnacentral:rRNA from 1 species